GGUCUAUUAGUCUAGUUGGUUAGGACGUCGGAUUCUGAUGGCAACAUUUGAUCUUCCGUAAGCCCAGGUUCGAAUCCUGGAUGGACCU
rnacentral:tRNA from 1 species